rnacentral:rRNA from 1 species
GACAGCAGUAGCCACGGUAAUACGUAGGUCCCGAGCGUUGUCCGGAUUUAUUGGGCGUAAAGGGAGCGCAGGCGGUUUAGUAAGUCUGAAGUUAAAGGCAUUGGCUCAACCAAUGUAUGCUUUGGAAACUGUUAGACUUGAGUGCAGAAGGGGAGAGUGGAAUUCCAUGUGUAGCGGUGAAAUGCGUAGAUAUAUGGAGGAACACCGGUGGCGAAAGCGGCUCUCUGGUCUGUCACUGACGCUGAGGCUCGAAAGCGUGGGUAGCGAACAGGAUUAGAGACCCCUGUAGUCCCUGUCUCUUAUACA